UUCAUUCAGGGCCUGUGACAGAAUGGCCUACACCUACUUAAACAGUGAAACCAUGGCAACUAUUCAGGGUCUGUAACGGAAUGGCCUACACCUACAUAACACGGUACAACCACAUCAACUAUUCUUUGUCUGUAACGGAAUGGCUUUCACCU